rnacentral:rRNA from 1 species
GGAGGUAGUGACAAUAAAUCACAAUGCGGGACUUCUGUUUCGCAAUUGGAUUGAGAACAACGCACAACACUUAUCGAUAAACAAUUGGAGGGCAAGUCUGGUGCCAGCAGCCGCGGUAAUUCCAGCUCCAAUAGCGUAUAUUAACGCUGUUGCAGUUAAAAAGCUCGUAGUUGAAGUGAAGUAAUGAAGUUGUGAUUUGAAAUUUUUCAUUUCGCUUCUUAAUUACUCUUUCCAAAUUGUUUGCAUGGGUAUUCAUUUAUCUGUGUAUUGCAUUUGGUCAUUUACUGUGAGAAAAUUAGAGUGUUCAAAGCAUACGUUUGUUUGAAUACAUUAGCAUGGAAUAAUUCGAAAAGGCUUUCAUGUUCGAUUUGAUUGGUUUGUUCGUGAGAGCAAGAUUAAAAGGGACAGUUGGGGGUAUUCAUAUUCAAUAGUCAGAGGUGAAAUUCUCGGAUUUAUGGAAGAUGAACAAGUGCGAAAGCA